AUAGCUGUAGCUCAGUGGUUGAGCAUGCAGAAGGUCCCAGGUUCAAUCCCCAGCAGCAAUU
rnacentral:tRNA from 1 species